AUUGAACGCUGGCGGCAGGCCUAACACAUGCAAGUCGAGCGGAUGAAGGGAGCUUGCUCCUGGAUUCAGCGGCGGACGGGUGAGUAAUGCCUAGGAAUCUGCCUGGUAGUGGGGGAUAACGUCCGGAAACGGGCGCUAAUACCGCAUACGUCCUGAGGGAGAAAGUGGGGGAUCUUCGGACCUCACGCUAUCAGAUGAGCCUAGGUCGGAUUAGCUAGUUGGUGGGGUAAAGGCCUACCAAGGCGACGAUCCGUAACUGGUCUGAGAGGAUGAUCAGUCACACUGGAACUGAGACACGGUCCAGACUCCUACGGGAGGCAGCAGUGGGGAAUAUUGGACAAUGGACGAAAGCCUGAUCCAGCCAUGCCGCGUGUGUGAAGAAGGUCUUCGGAUUGUAAAGCACUUUAAGUUGGGAGGAAGGGCGGUAAGUUAAUACCUUGCUGUUUUGACGUUACCAACAGAAUAAGCACCGGCUAACUUCGUG
rnacentral:rRNA from 1 species